rnacentral:rRNA from 1 species
UACGGAGGGAGCUAGCGUUGUUCGGAAUUACUGGGCGUAAAGCGUGCGCAGGCGGUUCGUUGUGUCGGUGGUGAAAUCCCCGGGCUUAACCUGGGAAUGGCCAUGGAAACUGGCGAACUGGAGUGCGGCAGAGGGGGGUGGAAUUCCGCGUGUAGCAGUGAAAUGCGUAGAGAUGCGGAGGAACACCGAUGGCGAAGGCAGCCCCCUGGGCUAGCACUGACGCUCAGGCACGAAAGCGUGGGUAGCAAACGGG